CCUAGCUGUGUGUAAAGAGAACAUCAAGGAACAGUGUAAAAAUCUCAGGGCAGUUAUUUUGAUUCUUGUGUUCAGUAAAGACAUGACGGCUGAAGUCGAUCAGGGCCUGAAUGCACUUAGGGGUUCUACAACUUCCCUCCUAUUCCAUUCUUGGAAGCUUGGCUGCCUGUACCCAAGGACAGCUACAGUAUGGUGAAGCGGUGUCACUUCGGGCCAGAGUUGGGAAAGAGCUGUGAGAGGCCUCCAUGGGGGCCUCCAUCCCUCACCUCGCAAGAUGCAUUCAGGUUUAGGCACUUGCUUCUGGCUGUUGCUUGAGAGGUGUCUCUGUUUUAUGAAUGUUUGCAGCUAGAUCCCAAAAUCCUCUUCUCAAAACUGAAGACAGCUAAAACACCCAACAGAUCCUUCUAUCUGCUUUUCAGACAAAUCUCUGAGUGCAACUGAGGGCUCAUCUCCACAUGAAUAGAGAAUUUCUCAACCUCUACCUAGUGGUUAACCAGAAUUCCUCCAAAUGAAGUUCAAAGCAUUUCUGUCAGUGGAUAAGAGUGUGCCAAGGCAUCAGGCUAGACACCAUACCUCUUGAAGUCAUGAGGGAGAGAGGAGACCAUGAAAACAAAAACUUCUAAGGUUUGCUUUCUGGAUAUGUUUUAUUCACGUCAUCCAAAACCAGACAUAAAGGGAAAGAAAACGAAGAUGUAUCAGGAAACAUGGAAGAGAACUGGCACAAGGGGUGGUUAUUUUUGGUGUUACAACAGAAUUCCUGCUACCGAUUUACACUUCGAAUUUACUCAUAUAAAUCCAAAGCAUUCAUGCAGCUCAUCUGCCGUGCACGCCAUGUGGCUGUGCUGUCAAUUCCGUCUACGGCAGGGAUUAGACUGGGACGCCUCCACAAGCAGCACUGAUCUCUCACUCACACAAAGCAAUAUGCAGCUUACUAUCAAUAGUCAAGCCAACCAUGUUUUACCUCUAUUUAUCACAGCACGGUUCAGCCAAGAAUUGCAGGUUUCAACAAAAAUGAAUAAUUUUACCAGUAAGCAACACAAACUUUAGAUGCCCUCCACCGGUCUCAAAAUAUCUCGUUUUCCUGGAUCGCGUCCAUAGCCUGUAUGUCAACAGUAGCUGUAGUCUAGCUGAAGAGACUUUUAGUCAGAUUCAGAGCAUAAAGUUGGGGUUUUAAUAUAGAUGUUUAUGCUGAACCUGCGAUUACCUCAUUUUCAUAUAAACUUGCGGCAUUCUGGGCGUAGUUCGGAGCCAGCUCCGAUCGCGUUCGUGGCACUGCGCUCCCUAACGGAGCCCUGGGGAUAUAAAUUCUAAAACCAGGGCAUACCCCGCGCGUCAAGAGACUUUGCUACGAAGCGCCUAGAAAAAUCCAGCGGGGCUGAUGGAAAAAUCCCGGCCCGGGCAGGCGGGGCUCGGCUUCCCACCCAGCUAAACAAACGGCUGAUAACGCCGCGGCGGGCCGGGAGCGCUGCCGCUCGGAGCGGGGCCGCGUCUGUCCCAAGGUCAGCUAUUUGAAGUACAAUAAACAGGAAGACACGGCGGCGGCGGCUCCGGCUCUGCCCCCGCCCCAGCCCCGGCGCUGCCCGGCGCCCCCCGCCCCGCCGUGCCCCGCCCGCCCCAGCGGGCGACACCUGGCGGCACCUCGGGGCGCUGCCGCCGCACCUGCCCGAGCCCGCGCCCACCGAGCCCCGGGUCCCGUUAAACGCCUCGGAGCUGCGCCCUUGGUAUUGCAAUAGAUCUGUCUUGGACUCGGGAGUUCUUGCUAGUCCGGAGCGUCCCAUGAGUUGCACUGGCUUCCCCCUGGCCUGCAACCUCAAACCGCGGGGGCUUUCUAAAUUACACCAGUUGUUUGUCUUUGUGACAGGGGAAGCCCUCCGUGAUACUGUGUGAACAUACGCUCCGACCCAAAUGUAAUUCUUUAUAGCAAGAAAAUUGCCUUUCUGGGCGAUCAGGAUAAGCAGAGUGUUUAAAUAUACUUCUUUCAAAGAACUCUGGUUAAUCUUCUGAAUAAAUCAUUUCGGAGAAUAACAGCAGUAACAAUCCAUUUUAGUAUCAAAAUAGCAAGAAUGUAUUUUAAACCAACUGUUUUUUCUGUCCCAGGAAAUGGCCAGCCUACCUCCUUUUUAAAAUACUAUUUUUAUAACACCCGGUGGCCUGGAUUCGAGAUGGAGUUAAUAUUUUUCUCCAUGACGCAGUAGGCAGAACAUGCUGAAACUUUAUGAACCCAGAAGUGUAUUCUCUAUGAUAAACAAAAACAAACUAAAAAAAAAAUCUCUUAAGAGCUCUGCAACUCAUAUGGCUUUUACCAUCUGGCACACAGUCCUGGCACACUGUAAAUCUUUGCAAGUGGUAUCUCCUUUACAGACUGUAAUGCAUAAAACCCAUAUGCCAGGGGCUCGUAGAGGCCAGCCCCUCAAGUUGCAGGCAUCACGUAGUGGUGUGAGAUGAAGACAAAACAUUUGUGAUAUUUCAAAUAAAAAAAAAAAAAUCACCUCCAUACCAUAACAGUAUGGACACCGACAGUGAGGCAACUUUCAGUCAUGAUUCCUUUCUUUAGAAAUGUCACCAAUCACACUCAACACAGCUGGGAGUUGAGCAAAGGCAAAACAGGAGAGGGGGAUUGAAUGCUGAGUGCUUUAAAGAUAAUUCCAGAGUUAUCUCUGGAAAAAAUUAAAACAACUCGCAUUAAGACAUUUAGUAAUACAAGAUACCAAGGUUACAUUUGAUGAAUACCAAUCCUAAUGACAAAUAUACUCCGUGUAAAUCUGAGCUCCAUGACUUUUGGCAAGGAUAUAAGCCAUCAGCUCAAAAGUCCUGGCACAGAAUAUCAACAUGCCCAUAAAUUUCUGCAGGCACAAAUACAUCUGUUAAAUUAUUCCUUCAUGCUUCCCUUCAAUAUAUAAAGUCAUAAGUGUUGACCACUUCAUCCCCUAGCUCUGCCAUAGGCCAUACCUGACCUGAGCAGCAUGAAGGGACUGGAGCCCUGAGGAAGCUCUGAACAGGUUCCCUAAAGCGGCGUGUCUCUUCUCCAGCAUCUAAAAUGACACUGAAAAGCGCAAGGACCUUAAAAACUUAGAUUGCUCUGAAUAAGGACUGUCCUCAUAGAUUACUACUAGAUCUAGCUCAUCUGCUCUCUAGACUGAGAAUCUUUUUGAUCUGCUAAAAUGAGGCUAAUGAAGAUAUGGGAUGUCUGCAUCUUCCCAGACCUUGUUUGCUUUCUCUGAGGAGUCAUCACCAUUUCUGACCUGAACUGGAGAAACAGUAGAACUGUAGUAAAUUAAUCACAAAUUAUUUUAUUGUUUACUCUAUUUAUGGGGGCAUUUUGCCCAAAUGUUGAGGUCACACAGCGGCUCUUUCUGACAGCACCACUGAUGAAGGAACAUCCUGUUAGACUGCUGCUGCUGUGUCUAGAUUAUCCUGGAAGGUGGAGGUUGAGCAAGGGGGCUUCUACACAAAGCAUCAGCCUAAUAUCUAUAUGGACCCAGAGGGCUGCACAACUUAAAGAGCAUGUUCAGGGUGAGGUAUACUAAGAAAAAAAAUAGUCUAACCUGGAAAAACAGUGUUUCUUCUCUAUUCAUACAUCCACUUAAAAUUUACAAUUAGUUAUAUCUUUAUUCUUAGAUAAUUAGAUAACGUGAUCUCUCCUUUGCAUAAAUGUAAAAUGCUUUUAGAAUGCCUACCAUAAUAACACCAGCAGCAACUUCCAUAGCCAUUCAUGGCCUUUUUCUCUGACUAAGGCCUGUACCAAAGGAAGUGGAAGGAAGCAUGUCUUCUUCAUGUCCCAUCCAGUGACAUUUAUACCAGUGUAUUCUCCACUGUUUGCAAUAUUCAAGUACAGAAACUCUGCCGAGAUUUUAGUACUGUUGUAAUAUUUUUAUUGAAAGAAUAAAAAGAUUUUUAUAUAGAUAAAGAGAUUUUUAAUUUGAUAAAACACUAAAAGUUGUCUGGUUGUAAAUGUAAUGAUUUGAAAAUAAUAAAAGAAUUUGAGUUUGGUUAUGGUA